GUGGGGAAUAUUGGACAAUGGAGGCAACUCUGAUCCAGCCAUGCCGCGUGUGUGAAGAAGGCCUUUUGGUUGUAAAGCACUUUAAGCGAGGAGGAGGCUUACCUGGUUAAUACCUGGGAUAAGUGGACGUUACUCGCAGAAUAAGCACCGGCUAACUCUGUGCCAGCAGCCGCGGUAAUACAGAGGGUGCAAGCGUUAAUCGGAUUUACUGGGCGUAAAGCGCGCGUAGGUGGCUAAUUAAGUCAAAUGUGAAAUCCCCGAGCUUAACUUGGGAAUUGCAUUCGAUACUGGUUAGCUAGAGUAUGGGAGAGGAUGGUAGAAUUCCAGGUGUAGCGGUGAAAUGCGUAGAGAUCUGGAGGAAUACCGAUGGCGAAGGCAGCCAUCUGGCCUAAUACUGACACUGAGGUGCGAAAGCAUGGGGAGCAAACAGGAUUAGAAACCCUUGUAGUCC
rnacentral:rRNA from 1 species